rnacentral:rRNA from 1 species
UUGUAAUUUGUAGAAGGUGCUUCGGGUGCGGCCCCGGUCCAAGUCCCUUGGAACAGGGCGUCCCAGAGGGUGAGAAUCCCGUAUGCGGCCGAUGGCCAAGCCCAUGUGAAGCCCUUUCGACGAGUCGAGUUGUUUGGGAAUGCAGCUCUAAAUGGGUGGUAAAUUUCAUCUAAAGCUAAAUAUCUGCCAGAGACCGAUAGCGCACAAGUAGAGUGAUCGAAAGAUGAAAAGCACUUUGAAAAGAGAGUCAAACAGUACAUGAAAUUGUUGAAAGGGAAGCGCUUGCAACCAGACUCGCUCGCGGGUGCUCAGCUGUCCCCAGGGGCGGUGCAUUCUCCCGCGGCCGGGCCAACGUCGAUUUCGACGGCUGGAUAAAAGCUUUGACAAAGUAGCUCUUCGGAGUGUUAUAGGUCAUGGCACAAUGCGGCCUGUCGAGAUCGAGGACUGCGUACUUGUACAAGGACGUUGGCGUAAUGGUUGCCAGCGACCCGUCUUGAAACACGGACCAAGGAGUCGACCAACCGCGCGAGUGUUUGGGUAUCAAACCCCCGACGCGCAAUGAAAGUGAAUGGAGGUGGGAGCCCUUUGGGUGCACCAUCGACCGAUCCUGAUAUAUUUGGAUGGAUUUGAGUAUGAGCCCGGUUGGCCGGACCCGAAAGAUGGUGGUAUGUCUACACUCUUCCCCUAAAUUUUAUGACCUAAAGUACUAAUUUGUGUUAGAACUAUGCGUGAAUAGGUGAGCAAGUCAACGGGGGAUGGAAUUCAAUUAGUUACUGACAUCAAAAUAGGGUGAAGCCAGAGGAAACUCUGGUGGAGGCUCGCAGCGGUUCUGACGUGCAAAUCGAUCGUCAAAUUUGCGCAUAGGGGCGAAAGACCAAUCGAACUAUCUAGUAGCUGGUUCCCGUCGAAGUUUCCCUCAGGAUAGCAGCAACGGAGACAGUCUCAUGAGGUAGAGCAAACGAUUAGAGGUCUUGGGGUUGUAAUCAGCCUUAACCUAUUCUCGAACUUCGAAUAUGUGAGAAGUCCUUGUUACUUAGUUGAA